AUUUCCACCACACCUACAUCCCCAAACUCAACGUCAUCGCCAUUGUUGCCACACCACCUCAAAAAAUCCCCAAACUCGACGUCCUCUCUUUGCCACCACUGCCUGUUUCAACAAUCACCAACACAACCACUUUAAAUCAAUCAUUUCCUUCACCUCUACCAAAAAAUAACUAGCACCACCACCUUAGAGCACCGCAAACCACCACUACAGCCACCACCAAAGCUAUACACAACCAACAAACCUCAACCCAAAUUUUUUGGCACCAGAUCACAAUAAGAUCUUGACCAAAUUUUCUCCAUAUCGCAACCAACAAAACUCAAUACAUUGGAGUUCUCGGUAGCAUGCAAGGGAGCAACUUGUGAGCAGCAUGGUGUUGCU
rnacentral:lncRNA from 1 species